rnacentral:snRNA from 1 species
AUCGCUUCUCGACCUUUUAGCUAAGAUCAAGUGUAGUAUCUGUUCUUAUCAGUUUAAUAUCUGAUAUGUCCUUUAUUUGAGGACUAUAUAUUAAAUAGGGACGCGGGUGGCGCUGUGGGUAAAACCUCA